UACAGAGGGGGCAAGCGUUGUUCGGAAUUACUGGGCGUAAAGGGCGCGUAGGCGGCGUGCUAAGUCGAACGUGAAAUCCCCGGGCUCAACUGGGGAGGGUCACUCGAUACUGAUCGACUCGAAGGCAGGAGAGGGUAGUGGAAUUCCCGGUGUAGUGGUGAAAUGCGUAGAUAUCGGGAGGAACACCAGUGGCGAAGGCGGUUACCUGGAGCUUUGCUGACGCUGAUGCGCGAAAGCGUGGGGAGCGAUCCGG
rnacentral:rRNA from 1 species